rnacentral:rRNA from 1 species
AUAUCAAUAAGCGGAGGAAAAGAAACCAACAGGGAUGUCCUCAGUAACGGCGAGUGAAGCGGACACAGCUCAAAUUUGAAAGCUGGCCCCACGGCCCGCGUUGUAAUUUGUAGAAGGUGCUUCGGAUGCGAUGGCGGCCCAAGUCCUUUGGAAUUGGGCGUCAUAGAGGGUGACAACCCCGUUUUUUGGCCGAUCCAUCCGUCCAUGUGAAGCCCUUUCGACGAGUCGAGUUGUUUGGGAAUGCAGCUCUAAAUGGGUGGUAGAUUUCAUCUAAAGCUAAAUAUCAGCCAGAGACCGAUAGCGCACAAGUAGAGUGAUCGAAAGAUGAAAAGCACUUUGAAAAGAGAGUGAAACAGCACGUGAAAUUGUUGAAAGGGAAGCGCUAGCAACCAGACUUGCGUGUAGUGUUCAGUCUCCCGAAAGGGUGGUGCAUUCGCUACUUGCAGGCCAGCAUCGGUUUCGGCGGUCGGAUAAAAGCUCAAGGAAAGUAGCUUGCACUAGCAAGUGUUAUAGCCUGGGUACAAUGCGACCAGCUGAGACCGAGGAACGCGCUUUUUUUGCGAGGAUGUUGGCAUAAUGGUUGUUAGCGACCCGUCUUGAAACACGGACCAAGGAGUCGACCAAUUAAGCGAGCGUUAGGGUGUAAAACUCACGGCGCGUAAUGAAAGUAAACGAAGGUGGGAAGCUUUCGAGCAGCACCAUCGACCGAUCUGAGUUCGCGAGGAUUUGAGUAUGAGUUUCAUUGGUCGGACCCGAAAGAAGGUGAACUAUUCCCGAAUAGGUUGAAGUCAGGUGAAAACCUGAUGGAGGACCGCAGCGGUUCUGACGUGCAAAUCGAUCGUCAAAUUUAGGAAUAGGGGCGAAAGACUAAUCGAACCUUCUAGUAGCUGGUUCCUGUCGAAGUUUC